AGUAAGGAGAAAGGUUUCGUAUCAAAGAGAGGCAUUUGGCCCAGGAUCCUGACUGCACAUGAAAAUAAAGCACAACUUUCAUUUUUUUUCCCCGUAAAGCUCUUGCAAGGAAAGAACUAGAACACUGCAAAUAAGCUUAUUAUUAAUUAUUAAUGUGAUCUGACAACAGCUCCAGGCAUAAAUGAGUAAUAAGGAACAAUUGCGGGAGUGCACAUAGUGAUAGGACUAGCACCGACGAGUUCUUGGAUCAAUUGGAAGGCAAUUUAAUGUAAAAUCCAAGUUAAAAAAUCAUUCCAGCAAAAAUUGUAUAACCACAUAAGAGCAACAUGUCGAAACUUGCUCUUUUGUUACCCACAUCAAGUGCAGCGCAUCAAUGCAACACCAUCACGGGUCACACUAAGCCACGCAGCACUUGUGCGACAUGAAUAAGAGCAUGGUGAAGGUGAACGAGUCCAAGCAACCCUGGACCCUAAACUCACAAAAUGGGCAAAGCAGCCCGAACCCCACAGACCCCAACAGUCCCAAACUCUCUAACCCACUUACCCACGCCACCGCCGCUGAGGCACCGACCGCGCCAUCCCCCAUGGGAUGGGAUGCCCCUUGUGGCCUUGUCGCAGUACGAUCCAACAAACAGGAUGAAAAAACAAGGAGCGCGUUAGGUUUCGCGGAUCUCACUGACAAAUACCUCGAAUCGACACGGGAUGCAGCCUCCGGGAGGCCUAAAACCGACCGUCGACGCCGCCCGCGGGGCGGCGAGGCGUCCACGCCGGAGUGCCUUCGCCAGCGACGGGGUAAGCCGGCGAGGGACUCGGCGACGGCGGAGAGGGAGGCGGGGGGCGUGUUAGGCUCCCACAAGCACCGGAUCUGGAGAGUGAGUGAAAGAAUGAAUACGGGGAGAAGAUAGUUGUCAAUA
rnacentral:lncRNA from 1 species